rnacentral:rRNA from 1 species
GAUCCUGGCUCAGAACGAACGCUGUCGACAUGCUUAACACAUGCAAGUCGUACGGGUAUAACUUGUUAUACCAGUGGCAAACGGGUGAGUAAUACGUAGAUAUGUACCCAGUAGUCUCGAAUAACAGUUGGAAACGAUUGAUAAUACGGGAUACUAUGGUAACAUCAAAGGUUUAGCAAUAAACUGCUAUUGGAGCAGUCUACGGUGGAUUAGAUCGUUGGCGAGGUAAUGGCUCACCAAGUCGAAGAUCCAUAGCUGGUCUGAGAGGAUGAACAGCCACAUUGGGACUGAGAUACGGCCCAGACUUCUACGGAAGGCAGCAGUGGGGAAUAUUGGACAAUGGGGGAAACCCUGAUCCCAGCAAUGUCGAGUGAAUGAUGAAGGCCUUAGGGUUGUAAAAUUCUUUUAUAAGUAAUUAUGAUGAAAGUAACUUAUGAAUAAGCUCCGGCUAACUUCGUGCCAGCAGCGGC